rnacentral:misc_RNA from 1 species
AUUUAUUCAAGUUCUUCUCCUCCCAAGUUCCAGCCCGAUUCCAAACGGAGCCAAGGGUAGGAGGCUGAGACGCUUGAGAAGCGAGAAUAUCGUCAGCAGAGAGCUUGCGAGGGACAGGAAGUGGAGCUGCAUCUUGCCGCGCUUCCCUGACCCAAUAGGUAUAAGAAGCCCCCUGUUGGGUCUCUGACGAAACUGCUCCAUUCUCCAUCGCGAACCCAAUAAAGAAAAGCUUCUUCCAAUCUUCCCAAUCACCGAGAUUACGAUAUCUGAUUCGAACAAAUUUGAAUGCCAAAACGAAAGGGGGAUCUGCGAUGACG